CUCCUUCCGGCUGCACUACUGCUGAUACAAUCUGGGAUGGGCUCAGGUUGAGCCAGGAGAGGUUCAGGAAAAGCAGAACAGUGCACUGCUGAGGGGCUCUGCUGAGGCCUUGGGACCAUCCAUGCUCUUGUGAGACGGCCAUCUGCAAAUGCUGAUUUUCUUUAUUGGAAUAAUAUCCAUUUAUUUAUUUAUUUUUAAAUGGAACCACUUCAGGCCACAUGGACAGAUUAUCAGCUCUUGUGCUUUUGAGUUCAGUGGAAUUCAAGAAACUGAUUUAAAAUAGGUGAGUCCAUGGCAAAAGGAGAAAGUUUUUAGAGAUUUGGCAUCAUUUCUGUUUAAUGAUAUAAAGCCAAGUACAACUGUCUGAAUCAUUUCUAAGUGCUUUUCUCUGACUCUCAAGAGAAAAUGUAAAGCACAAUGUCAUUUAACUCACUUUCUCUCACUGCAGCAGCAAGCAUUUCAUUAAUGACAGUGAUUUGGGUCCCAUUCUGUUUCGGUAAUGCUGUGGAUGUGCUACAAGGUCUGUAACAAUGCACAUUCAGCCCAUUUCAGGUGGAAGUUACCAGCGGGUGAUUCACCUCUGCCAGUGGAAGUUCAGCCACAGACUGAAGGGAUGGAUAGGGUUUGUAGCUCUUGUAUUUGAAACAGCACCCAAAAGGAGUUUAUGGACUGAUUACAUGGACUAAACAUUAGAGUGAUGGGUACCAAGCAUUAAAUAUAAACAUAAAUAUUUCUGUAAGAGAAGCUGAUUUUCUUACCUGCAGUGCUAGUUCUGAGCCCUCAGUGCGUGUGCUGAUGGAAACAUUUUAUCUUUCAGGAAAUUCCCUCGUGUUCAGAUUAAUCACUGCUCCAAGCCGUCCUGUUGUGCUCUUCCACCAGUGGCCUCCAUCCUGGCUGUCAGCUCCAGUCACUACCAGAUCUGAGCAGCUUUUUGACAGGAAGGAAUCAAAAAGACAUGUAUUUAAUGUCUUCAUAAAAUAAAAGCUUUGAAAGCAUUUUCUUUUGUAGCUCCCAUACUGCACUCCACUCUUCUUUCUCCAUUAUACUCAGUAUACUUUUAAAGUAUGUAUUGUGUGUGGUGCAUCUUUCUUUAAAGUCCAAGAUGCAAAUAGUGAGCUGACAACGAGGACAGUCAGAGGAACAGGGAAACUACAGGUCAUAAAAACCUGGCCUGGACAAAAGUGUUAACCAAUAACAUACAGGGAAUAUUUCUGGGUUGGACUAGGGGGAUUAAGAAGCAUGAGCUGAUUAUGCUAAUUUUCUUCAUCUCUUAAUAUCUUUAGAUUGCUUCAUUGAAGUUUAAAGAAAACCUCCCAGUAAUUUAUGUGGAGAGACGUUUCAUUCUUCAUUUCCAGGGAAGACAAUCUGCUUUAUAUGGUAAGUAUGUGCACAUGGGAAACAUGAAUUUGUUCUCUUCUCAGCCAAACACUUCUGUCCUUGUGCAAGAAUUCAGAAUACAGCAGGAAAUGUGUAACAGAGUUGGUUUCACUUCUUACCAACCACUGCCACAAAGUGCAAUAUACUGGUACCUCCUAUCACCAAAUAGUAGCAGCUUUUUGCUUAUGUUAGAGAAUCAAAGUGUGUCAUUUGCUCUCCUUAUUUCUGCACAGUUCCUCAUUUAGGCUACAUUCAAACUCAUCCAGCUCUCACAUUAUUUAAGCAAUUAGCAGUAUGAAACCUCUUAUUCUCACUUCCCUCUCUCUGAAAAGUAAUAUUCCAGCACAUAAGUCCAUUAAGCUCCUGUUCUGGGACAUGUUAUCAUCUCUGCUGCCAUAGUCGAAGCAAGGAACAAUUUUCUGUCUCCUAAAUGUCCCCCGCUUCUAUGUGUGCUUCGACACCAUUAGAGAUGAUAAAUAAGGUAAUAAAACAAGCUGAACUGUAAGCAGGAAGAGAAGGAAAAUUCUUUCCUUAGCUAUUAGCCCUCUUUAAUCUUCACUUAAGUGAAUCAGGAAGAUUAGCUUACGCAAGCAGUUAUAGGAAGAGGUGGGAGCCAGCAUGUUUUUAAGAUUCAUUUACUUCAUUGUGGUCUAUCAAAAGUGAUUGCCUGGCCUCUCCCAAUCACUUUAAGAUGAUAAAUUCCCGUGGCUGAGUGC
ensembl:lncRNA